GCACCUUCGGGUGUGAAUUAGCGGCGAACGGGUGAGGAACACGUGAGAAAUCUGCCUUCAACACUGGGAUAACUCCGGGAAACCGGGGCUAAUACCGGAUAUGAAACCUGCGGGCAUCCGCGGGUUUGGAAAGUUUUUCGGUUGAAGAUGAUCUCGCGGCCUAUCAGCUUGUUGGUGAGGUAAUGGCUCACCAAGGCGACGACGGGUAGCCGGCCUGAGAGGGCGACCGGCCACACUGGGACUGAGACACGGCCCAGACUCCUACGGGAGGCAGCAGUGGGGAAUAUUGGGCAAUGGAGGAAACUCUGACCCAGCGACGCCGCGUGCGGGAUGAAGGCCUUCGGGUUGUAAACCGCUUUCAGCAGGGAAGAAGCGAAAGUGACGGUACCUGCAGAAGAAGCACCGGCUAACUAUGUGCCAGCAGCCGCGGUAAUACAUAGGGUGCAAGCGUUGUCCGGAAUUAUUGGGCGUAAAGAGCUCGU
rnacentral:rRNA from 1 species